rnacentral:snRNA from 1 species
GUGCUUGCUUCGGCGUCACAUAUACUAAAAUUGGAACAAUACAGAGAAGAUGAACAUGGUUCCUGCUCAAGGAU